rnacentral:rRNA from 1 species
AUUGAACGCUGGCGGCAUGCCUUACACAUGCAAGUCGAACGGCAGCGGACCUUCGGGUGCCGGCGAGUGGCGAACGGGUGAGUAAUAUAUCGGAACGUACCUUUCAGUGGGGGAUAACGUAGCGAAAGUUACGCUAAUACCGCAUAUUCUGUGAGCAGGAAAGCGGGGGAUCGCAAGACCUUGCGCUGAUUGAGCGGCCGAUAUCAGAUUAGCUAGUUGGUGAGGUAAAGGCUCACCAAGGCGACGAUCUGUAGCGGGUCUGAGAGGAUGAUCCGCCACACUGGAACUGAGACACGGUCCAGACUCCUACGGGAGGCAGCAGUGGGGAAUUUUGGACAAUGGGCGCAAGCCUGAUCCAGCCAUGCCGCGUGAGUGAAGAAGGCCUGG